UGGGGCAUCGUCUAAAGGCAGGACUGAGGACUUUGAAUCCUCCUAUCUAGGUUCGAAUCCUAGUGCCCCAGCAA
rnacentral:tRNA from 1 species